rnacentral:rRNA from 1 species
CCUACGGGAGACAGCAGUGAGGAAUAUUGGUCAAUGGGCGUAAGCCUGAACCAGCCAAGUCGCGUGAGGGAUGAAGGUUCUAUGGAUUGUAAACUUCUUUUAUAAGGGAAUAAAGUGCGGGACGUGUCCCGUUUUGUAAGUACCUUAUGAAUAAGGAUCGGCUAACUCCGUGCCAGCAGCCGCGGUAAUACGGAGGAUCCGAGCGUUAUCCGGAUUUAUUGGGUUUAAAGGGUGCGUAGGCGGCCUUUUAAGUCAGCGGUGAAAGUAUGUGGCUCAACCAUAGAAUUGCCGUUGAAACUGGGGGGCUUGAGUAUGUUUGAGGCAGGCGGAAUGCGUGGUGUAGCGGUGAAAUGCUUAGAUAUCACGCAGAACCCCGAUUGCGAAGGCAGCCUACCAAGCCAUGACUGACGCUGAUGCACGAAAGCGUGGGGAUCAAACAGGAUUAGAUACCCUGGUAGUC